rnacentral:tRNA from 1 species
GCCUUUGUGGUGUAACUGGAAAGUACAUUCGGCUAGCAACCGGAAAGUCCGGCGUUCGAAUCUCGGCGGGAGCA